rnacentral:piRNA from 1 species
CCCAGAAGUGGAGUUCCUUCCUAGGACGUGC